GAUGAACGCUAGCGGGAGGCUUAAUACAUGCAAGUCGAGCGGUAAUUUAGGAAUAGCAAUAUUUCUGAGCUAGAGCGGCGCACGGGUGAGUAACGCGUACACGACCUGCCCUUUACUGGGGGAUAGCCUUGGGAAACUGAGAUUAAUACCCCAUGGUAUUAUUAUGCUGCAUGGUAUAAUAAUUAAAGCUGAGGCGGUAAAGGAUGGGUGUGCGUCUGAUUAGCUAGUUGGCAGGGUAAC
rnacentral:rRNA from 1 species